UCCCGUAAUGGCGNAAGUCUGACGGAGCAACGCCGCGUGAGUGAUGAAGGUUUUCGGAUCGUAAAGCUCUGUUGUCCGGGAAGAACAAGUACCGUUCGAAUAGGGCGGUACCUUGACGGUACCUAACCAGAAAGCCACGGCUAACUACGUGCCAGCAGCCGCGGUAAUAAU
rnacentral:rRNA from 1 species